GACGAACGCUGGCGGCGUGCUUAACACAUGCAAGUCGAACGAAAAUACCAAGCUUGCUUGGUUGAUUAGUGGCGAACGGGUGAGUAACACGUGAGUAACCUGCCCCUUACUUUCCUGGAUAACUGCUCGAAAGGGUAGCUAAUACGGGAUAUUCUGACCAGUCUGCAUGGGUUGGUUUGGAAAGGUUGUUUUUCUGGUAAGGGAUGGGCUCGCGGCCUAUCAGCUUGUUGGUGGGGUGAUGGCCUACCAAGGCUUUGACGGGUAGCCGGCCUGAGAGGGUGGACGGUCACACUGGGACUGAGAUACGGCCCAGACUCCUACGGGAGGCAGCAGUGGGGAAUAUUGCACAAUGGGCGCAAGCCUGAUGCAGCGACGCCGCGUGAGGGAUGAAGGCCUUCGGGUUGUAAACCUCUUUCGACAGGGAACAAGGCAUUGCCUUUUUUGGUGGUGUUGAGGGUACCUGGAUAAGAAGCGCCGGCUAACUACGUGCCAGCAGCCGCGGUAAUACGUAGGGCGCAAGCGUUGUCCGGAAUUAUUGGGCGUAAAGAGCUCGUAGGCGGCUGGUCGCGUCUGUCGUGAAAACUUCCGGCUCAACCGGGGGCUUGCGGUGGGUACGGGCCGGCUAGAGUGCGGUAGGGGUAACUGGAACUCCUGGUGUAGCGGUGGAAUGCGCAGAUAUCAGGAAGAACACCGAUGGCGAAGGCAGGUUACUGGGCCGUUACUGACGCUGAGGAGCGAAAGCGUGGGGAGCGAACAGG
rnacentral:rRNA from 1 species